GACGAACGCUGGCGGCGUGCUUAACACAUGCAAGUCGAACGGAAAGGCCCUGCUUUUGUGGGGUGCUCGAGUGGCGAACGGGUGAGUAACACGUGAGUAACCUGCCCUUGACUUUGGGAUAACUUCAGGAAACUGGGGCUAAUACCGGAUAGGAGCUCCUGCUGCAUGGUGGGGGUUGGAAAGUUUCGGCGGUUGGGGAUGGACUCGCGGCUUAUCAGCUUGUUGGUGGGGUAGUGGCUUACCAAGGCUUUGACGGGUAGCCGGCCUGAGAGGGUGACCGGCCACAUUGGGACUGAGAUACGGCCCAGACUCCUACGGGAGGCAGCAGUGGGGAAUAUUGCACAAUGGGCGGAAGCCUGAUGCAGCAACGCCGCGUGCGGGAUGACGGCCUUCGGGUUGUAAACCGCUUUCGCCUGUGACGAAGCGUGAGUGACGGUAAUGGGUAAAGAAGCACCGGCUAACUACGUGCCAGCAGCCGCGGUGAUACGUAGGGUGCGAGCGUUGUCCGGAUUUAUUGGGCGUAAAGGGCUCGUAGGUGGUUGAUCGCGUCGGAAGUGUAAUCUUGGGGCUUAACCCUGAGCGUGCUUUCGAUACGGGUUGACUUGAGGAAGGUAGGGGAGAAUGGAAUUCCUGGUGGAGCGGUGGAAUGCGCAGAUAUCAGGGGGAACACCAGUGGCGAAGGCGGUUCUCUGGGCCUUUCCUGACGCUGAGGAGCGAAAGCGUGGGGAGCGAACAGGCUUAGAUACCCUGGUAGUCCACGCUGUAAACGGUGGGUACUAGGUGUGGGGUCCAUUCCACGGGUUCCGUGCCGUAGCUAACGCUUUAAGUACCCCGCCUGGGGAGUACGGCCGCAAGGCUAAAACUCAAAGGAAUUGACGGGGCCCCGCACAAGCGGCGGAGCAUGCGGAUUAAUUCGAUGCAACGCGUAGAACCUUACCUGGGUUUGACAUGGAUCGGGAGUGCUCAGAGAUGGGUGUGCCUCUUUUGGGGUCGGUUCACAGGUGGUGCAUGGCUGUCGUCAGCUCGUGUCGUGAGAUGUUGGGUUAAGUCCCGCAACGAGCGCAACCCUUGUUCACUGUUGCCAGCACGUUAUGGUGGGGACUCAGUGGAGACCGCCGGGGUCAACUCGGAGGAAGGUGGGGAUGACGUCAAGUCAUCAUGCCCCUUAUGUCCAGGGCUUCACGCAUGCUACAAUGGCUGGUACAGAGAGUGGCGAGCCUGUGAGGGUGAGCGAAUCUCGGAAAGCCGGUCUCAGUUCGGAUUGGGGUCUGCAACUCGACCUCAUGAAGUCGGAGUCGCUAGUAAUCGCAGAUCAGCAACGCUGCGGUGAAUACGUUCCCGGG
rnacentral:rRNA from 1 species